rnacentral:rRNA from 1 species
UACGUAGGGCGCAAGCGUUAUCCGGAAUUAUUGGGCGUAAAGAGCUCGUAGGCGGUUUGUCGCGUCUGCCGUGAAAGUCCGGGGCUCAACUCCGGAUCUGCGGUGGGUACGGGCAGACUAGAGUGAUGUAGGGGAGACUGGAAUUCCUGGUGUAGCGGUGAAAUGCGCAGAUAUCAGGAAGAACACCGGUGGCGAAGGCGGUUCUCUGGGCCUGACCUGACGCUGAGGAGCGAAAGCGUGGGGAGCGAACAGG